rnacentral:sRNA from 2 species
CAAGCACCUCGGUAGGUGAGGCGUCUGCACGGAUACAGGCCACUGACCCCGAACGUCGAGAGACGCCCCGGGUCAGGACAGCUCUUCCCGGACCCAAGGGUUGAGCCCAAGUGGCUUCUGGACGAGGAGCGAUCGCAAGCGCGGCGAAGCCGGGCGCAGCGGGUCGCGACCAUCGGAGCGAUCGCAAGCGCGGCGAGGCCGGGCGCAGCGGGUCGCGACCAUCGGCAAUUCCAGAUACGCCGUGCAGUGCCAAAGCUCCGACGAGAGAGGUGCAGC